ACACAAACACACACACACAAGAAUCCAAACAGCAGGGUUAAAACUAGAAAGAAUGCACUCUUGGGAAUGUAGAAAAAAGGUGUCAAGAAUGAGCUGGUAGGUGUGAGGAGAAAGGAGAAUGCAAAGUGUGGGGAAAAAUGCUGGAGCGAAAGGUUGCCUGACAAAUGGCAAGAGAGAUACAAAGGAGAGAGAGAGAGGAGUAGAGGGAUCAACACACUGGGAUAAAAGAAAAGAGGAAAGGCAGAAAAUAAGAUGACGCAGCAUGGCUGGCUGGCGAGCCGGUUCCAGUUGCCACAGUAACACCUGUGCGAUGGACCAUAGAAACUGAGCCUCUGUCUUUCCUUCCUGUCUCUCUUCCUGUCACUGCAUCACCACUGAGUUACUUAAUACCUACGAGCCUGAGUCACUGUAGCGCUCCUCUCCUCAUCCCGCUGUCUUUGUCUAUCUGGCUUUACCAUUUCCACUGAGGGUGAAACCAAUGGAGCAUAAACACGCUGUAUACAGAUCCAGUGAUGGGUGUGUUAAGCUUUAUGAGAGACUCAGUGGACACAGGUACUAUGAUUAAUUCUUUUAUACCUGUUUUCAAUUCCUUCUGUGAGAAAAAAAGACAAUCAUUAAAAAAAAUAAUGGAAAAACAACACCCACUAAAACCUUGGCUUGUAAAGCUCAGCUAGUAUAUUUAUGAUAAAUGGGUGAAAGAAAUUAAGCUUUCUGAAGGUCACUUUAGCAGAACUCAUGCUCACUAGUGUUACAGCAUGAACUAGAGCAAUGGAUCCCAAUGUUUGUCGUCUGACUGUAUGCCUACAGUCCCAUCAGAUGAACUCCAGAUCUCAGAUGAACUUAAUAGUAGUAGUGGUAGUAAUGGUGGUCGUAGGGACCUUAGCUCCAGUUCCUCCUUAGCUGCUGCCUCCUGAUCCUUCAUGUGUCUGCACUAAGCUGACAUGACACACUGUUGAAGUAAUUGUGCUAGACUCAGCAGAGCGUCGCUCUCUUGCUCUCAGAUCACUCUCUCUUUAACUUUCGAGCACAUAUACAUCCACAUGUUCUCUCCUCUGCUGCUUCCUGUAAAGGAAAAUCUACUCUCUUUAUCUUCUGAACACCACAAUAGGAUCAAAAGAAUCAAACUACAUUAGAGGCCAUUUCUGAAUCUCUAAAUCUGUUUUUGUUGCACAAAAACGGACAUCAUCUUUCAAGGGUGUUUCACAUGAUGGCGUUCAGUCCUGCAAAUUAUAGCUUAAGGGGCUGCAGCACAAUCAGAGUCACACUCCACUGUAUGUAGACCAAUGGCACAGCCAGACAGUGGGCAGCAGAGCAGAGUAGCCGCCUGUCUGUCUUUCCAUAGUUGGUAAUAGUCUUACUUCCCCAGUGAGGGAGCACUGAGAGGGACUGUGCUCUGACUGGCUCAGCGGACUAACAAUGGCACUUUGUGGAGAAACAUCAGCAGUGUUAGCCAUAAUAAUAAUACGUUUCAUUGCCCCUAAGUGCUUUUUGCUUUGAGUUCUUUUCCAGAUAGUCAAAGACUCUUUAUAUAGUAAGAAAAAAAGACAAACAUCUAUAUAAGUAGCUCACGUCUGAGUUGAAAAGUAUCUUACACCUGGAAGUAGAACAGAGCGUUUUUGUUGUUAAAAAAAAAACAACAACAAAAAAAACAAAACAUACAAGCUGAGAAGAAAGAGAGCAGACAAGACAGCUAUAAUAUGAGCAGGCAUGUAAAUGAAAAAGUGGGAAAAAGUUGUAUAGGAAAAAAGGAAGGAUGCAGGCGCAUGAAUGACAUCGAUGCACAAUGUUAACUUAACAUUUAAAGACAAGACAAACAUGCAAAAAACACAUACCCGCAGACAUGCUCCCCUCUUUCUCAUACAAACACAUACACAUAGAGGUAAAAUACAAGGACAUCUAAUUCAGCUCAACAGCCCUCCUGUUGAGACUACAUGCCCUGCGGAGCUUCUCGUACAUCCUUGAAGCUUGUAUUUCUGGAUUGUGUGACUCACUCUUGUUCACAGCUGCCUUUUUUUGCUUUUUUUGUCUGGGCUAGGGGCUGGCGUCGAUAAUUAGGGGAGGAAAAGUAAAGUGGUCCAAGGGCGCGCAAAGGAUUUCUAAUGAGCUGUUUACAUUCUCCUUUUCUGUGAACAACUGAGGUAGCACUCGGGAGCACUUGUAAACCGCAGCACUAUCUCUUAUCAGAUCUAUAGAUCCCUGUGUAGUCCAGAGAUGCCUGGCUGCUGCUGAGUUUCCUGCCGCAAUGGCGUUUAAUGGGAUGGCAGUGGUGGAAACUGUUUGUCUCUACAGGCCCUGAAGGCUAUGUGCAAUAAUAGUGCAGAGAAAGCUUCAAACUCCUGGGAUCAACAUUAGAUGGUUCGACAUGGAGGAACGGUUGAAGCUAUUAAUGGAUGCACUGUAUAGCUGUUAGGAAAAUCUGAUGUUUAAUUUUAAUGUUGAUUUUUGUCAUGUUUAACACAGUCUAACAGUGAGUGAUGCCUUCAUGGUUUAUUUGUAGUGUCAGUAAUGGCCUUGGCAUCUUCUUGAUGAGUUUAUUAUUAAUACACUAACCCUUUUCAGUUCAGAUGAUGCAUUUUAAAUACAAAGCCCAUGUGGCAGGUGUUGUCAAGGGCAUUGAGAGCUGUGGCUGCUUCAUUCAGUUUGGAACCGAGGCUUGUAUUAUGACAAUCAAUCCCUCCAACUGUCACAUCAACAUGUAAGGAUCUUGGUGAGGAUUUUAUAUCUGGAUUUGCAAAACUGCUUCUAUCAGUGCUUUGGUGAUGCAAGAUCAGACCACCAUCUGUUAGGAAGGAGCAAUAAAAAGCAUUGCCUUUAAUUUCACUCUCUGCUGGAAUAAUUAGGCCAUUUAUAUUCCGCACUUCAUGAUUUAAGAGAGGAGCAAGGGGAAAAGUCGAUAUUGGGACUAUACAGGCAGCGGCAUUUCAGCCAUCAGCUUGUCCAAGUCACUUUGCUGUUAUGAUUUAUGUAUGGCCUUGCUACACGGCUUCACUAGGUAGCACCGCUGUAAUAUAUCCCGCUCCCUGCCAUUAAUCCUUUCCCUGAUAACCUCAACAUGCAAGGAAACUCCAUCUUAAAUCACACGUUGUCACCUGGGAGCUCCACUGACUGGUACUAUGAGUGUGCCUUCACCCCUGUGGCCCCCACCCACCCCAAAACCCUAAAAUACUCUGUAUCUGCUGGGGGAGAUCCUGAACUAGGGUAGCAGACUGACUUACUGACCUUAUCUGACAAGCUUAAUAUCCCCCCCCCCUCCGGCGCAGACUCCUAUCCCUCCCAUUUACUUUACAAGGGUGGCAGUAGGGAUCAGACAAACAAAGCAGACAGAGGCUAGAAUUGCUCUGAUGGUAAUCAUUUCUUGUAGGCUUGAGUAAACCGUCGUAUUUAGCAGGGAAAAACAAGUGAAUGAUUACCACUAAUUUGGCCUCUGAAUUAGACUGUUACGUAAGGAUCUAUACUCAAGCUCAUGAAAAUUCCUCUCGCUCUGACUCUCUCAAUCCGGCUAAUUUGAUCAGAGCUUUUGAAAACAAAGACUUCAAACAUUUGUGUAGACUUUGAACCUUCUCCUUCUCCUCUCAUGUAGGCUGUAUGGAGAAAUCUGAUAAACCUAAAAUGACACCUCGUAUUUCUACUGUAAAAAAAGAAGGACUUAUACAGCUGAAUCCCCUGGUAGAACAUUUGAAAAGGGCGAAAAUAUGACAGAUCUCUAUCUAAAAGUCACACACCUGCUUCUGUCUGCAACUCAAGACCUUUUCUGACCCACCCGAGAACAAUAGUCGCACAUCUAUCUUAACACACUUGUGUAUUACCAUAUUUCAUCUGUUUGACCUUCCCAAAGCUCAGCAGGGAACUCUAUUACUCUUAGCUUGCCCUGUGUUUCUCCAGCUCCCCUUUCCCCAUUUCUGCCUCCAAUGUCUCUUUCUUGGUGAGUUCUUGCCCAAUGGCGUGUGAGCAGUAAUUUGUCAUGUCCCUCUAAGCGUAACCAAGAUGAGAUGGCAGGGGCCCUGGGGCACCAGCCACUGCGCUACCUGAACCACCAACACUUACAUAAUGGCAGGUUCUGAGAAAAAUGGGGGUUGGGGGGGUGGAAGGAAGGUAUAUACAGCACGAGAAUACAAGAGAGAAAAGCUCACAGAGAUCCUGCAACCAAAGGCAGAAGAGUUGCAUUAAUCAUGACAAUACCUUGAGAAGACAACCUCCAUUACAUCAGUGGAGGGAAGACAGGCUCUCAGAGAGUAGAAGGCAGCAGUCAAUGCCGCUGAAUAUACUAGGCUGAUGUUGCUUAAGGGGUUUGGGGAGGAAGGGCUUUGGCGCACUUCCCAUGAAAUCGCCCACGGCAUGCACACAGGACAUUCAAGACUGUAGUCUUGGUCUUUGACAAGAUCAGCUCCGUAGAGAGACGCUUUCGUCAUAGAAAUAAAAAGUGAAAUUUACUGGACCAGCGGAACAUCAAACACGGACAUCAUGGGAAAAAUAGUUUUGACGGGCUAUUUAAAAACUCCUGCCAUUCCACAUUGUUCACUUAGGAGUCAGUCUUAAUGGAGUAAGAUGAAGAGACUGUUUAAUCAAGCCAAUGCCGGUAAUUUCGCAACAUGUCACAAGUGUUUUGCGUUGGACAGGUUUACACCUAUUAUGUAUGGUGAAACUAGGACCCGGGCCCCGCUCCUGAACAAGAUUGCAUUGACAGCGACAUCACAGCUAUCACAUGACACCUUGCAUUGCCGCUGUGAACAAACCGUCUUUGCAAGACGAUGGGCACGAAAACCAAUUACGCAAGGGAGGACAUAAAAGGGGAAAAUGCAAAUUGAACGAUAAAAGCCCCUCAUAUGGGCAAAAGAGAGCGUGGUUGGUCCGGCUGUGCCUCGGAGCCAUGGUGCAGAAAGGCUAGAGAGCUCUGCUGCGAGGUGAUAAAAUAAAGGGGACCUCGCUUAUAAUAGCCUGCAAUAUCUUCACACAUCACAGCAUCACACAUGCUGCACUCACCGGGUGCGUGUUAACUGCGUUUUGCUCUUCUCUCCUUCCAUCUUUUUUUCUCUCUUCCUUUCAUCCAUUCCCUCUAUAGUCUGUUUAUUUAUUUAUCUUACUCCCCACAGAACAACACCAGCAUCAGCACUUAGGAUGUCAUCGGUUACAAGGAGACAGGUCACACAUGCCAUACUAUAGUGUGUCUGCAGAAAACUGGAAAAUUUCUCUUCCUGCUGCAGUGGCAUCCCACAAGGAGCUCUGAGAAUGUAGUGUUGAAGGUCGACGCAAACAUAACACUGGAGGUAAUGUGGUGUGCACCAUCUCCGCAUCCUGGCCAGAUCUCAUUUUAAGCAAGGGGCCUCUUGGGGAAGUUUACGACAAAAACAGCAGAGGCUGGAGAGAGCAAUGGGCCAUAUUAAACAAACAGAUCAAUAGCUGAACAAAUCAAUUGUUACCAACCUAUCUACAUGUAAUGGCUCCACAUCGCUGUGGUCAGUGCCUGGUCAUUAUACUAUAAGUGGGGGGUAGGCAAAAUAAUUUCCAACAGCUGGCUGUUUUUGCUGAUUUGCCCAUGCAGCAAAAUAACAACAACACACAUCUGCGUUUCCAAGGUUAUCAGGUCUAUUAGUCCUGUCUGAUUUUUUUUUCCCUCUCUCAUUUUGUCCUUUUUGUCAUUCAUGAAUCAAGGCCACCCUAGCCACUCCCUCCCUUGUUUUGUAUGUCCUCUACAGAGAGAGGGGAGGAAAGACAGCCGAAGACAGGGUAGCAGCUGUGAGUUUUAGCCUCUUGCUGACUGAUGCCUGAUGAAGAUGAUGCCCCAGGGAGGGUCAGUUUUGGCAUGGUGGGGUACACAUGCUCCUCUGUCCUCUGGACCAACACAUCAACAAACAAAGCUUCGUAGAAAACACAGUCUGGUCAUAAUGAUAGCAGCUUUUCUUCUUCUGUCUUAAUUAGAUUACCCUUCCCAGUUGUGUACUGGGGCUAUGUUUGGAAAUCUUAUCUAGACUUUCUAUCUUGGCAAUUUCUUAUCUUUAAACAACUGCAGUGCUGCAUUAUGAUUGCAGAGCCGUUCAAUACAGGAACGGGAUGGAUUUAAAUGUAUUGUUUUUAGUUAGUUUACAUUACACAGCAUUACACAGAGUCUUCUCCAUUAAUAAAGCCUGAGGAGACAAAUAAUGUCACUCUCUGCAGCCAAUUACUAUUUAAGUGAAAAAUGUUGCCAAUAUUUGUCUCUUUUAGUUUAAUUUAUUUGAUUUUAGUUUAGUUUAUUUGAUAAUAAGUUUUGUAUUGUUUUUUUAAAACAUUUUUUCCACAAAAACUAAUUCUCCAGAUAAAUGAACAAAUAUUUACAGGUAACCUAAAUAUACUAAACUCUCUUUUCAAUGCACUGUAAAAAAAUGUAUAACUUUUACACACACUAGCCUACUUUAGCUUAAACAUUAUCACAAGCUGACUGAAGAUAGUGAGCAAAGAACACACAGACACAAAACCUUAAAUAAGUUCUAAAAUAUGAAAUCAAAUAGACAUUUAGCUAUCACCAGGCGGAAUAAUGCGUUAUCAUCAGUUCUCACAGGGACUAUUUCUUUUUGGGGGAGUGCUUCGGAUAAUAACGGUUCACGGAGACUCUGAGGGUUAUUUACAGUAGCUUCUGAGGACGAAUUCCCGAUGAAAUUUGUACACAAUUUGAAACCUGGGCAAAUAAAAACAAAGCUUUCUGCAUAGAAACAUCCAGAGGUGGAAAUAUGAGAGAGAUGGAGAGAAAACUGAUAGAAAAGGUCCAAUCCAUCAGCAGAGUGGACUAUCUCAUAUGCUGCUUUCAUUUUUCCAUCCAGACAAAAACAUCCUGCCUGUAAGUAGCAGCUACCCAUCCCAAUCCAUUCCUGCACGCCCUCAGACAUGCACACCCACACACUUACUCACGCUCUUGUGUGUCUUCGUGAACACAGUAAACACUCAGACACGCCGGCUUUAUGCAUGUGCUUUUCACUCCUGUCAUCCUCCUCCACACUGCCAUGGAAACAGAAUUCAGCAUUCAAAUAUCUUUAUUGUCUGGGGAUAUGUGCAUGUCAGUCAGUGAUUUGAAGUUGUUUGGGGAGGGGGGGUCUCUUUCCCUCGCCAUGGCUCCAUAAGCUUUAAUCAGAGCCUCUGCUCACACUACUUUCACUAAUCCCCUUUAUUAGUCGGUGACAUGAGGCAGCAUCCUUGUUUUGUGGUCAGAGGGUUUUUGGAAAAUGCUCUUCUCUGCUGCCCACUGCUGUGGUGUCCAUACCACGCGAGUAGUCUCACAGGGAUGAGCAGAUGUUUAAUGGUGCAGUGGCAGAGGAGCAAAAAAGAAGCAGAGUGGGAGAAGCUUCUUGAGUCAUGGUCGACUGGGUUGCUGUGUGGCAGGCAGCUAAAAAAGGUUUGAGUCAUUCUCCAUAUGUGACUUGUUUUCCAAGUGCGUCAGCAGUGCGCAUACGCUACCAGCAUGCACCUGCAGAAGGUCUCAGUGUCUUAAAUUGCGGCCACUUGGCUAUGCCACCGUUCCUCUGUUUCCUACCUGUCAGUCUGAUCUUUUUUUUUUACCCACUCCCUGUCCUGCUUGUGUCACAUGUCACAUGGAUUAUCACUGACAAGAGAACGCUGAUGCAUGUUGAAAGCAUGGCUGCCCAACACACAUACACGUCAGACACACAUAAACAAAACUCCCACCUACUCAUAUGUCAGCAGCACUGUAGCGCUUUUAAACGGCCGUGUACCAGAGUGUGUCUGUGUUUUUUCUGAGGGGAGGAUAUUGGAGGAAUAUUGUUUUUGGUGCUCGAGACAGGCCUUGGCAGUGAUGUAUAAAAAUGCACAUUCCCUCCUUCUCUCUCAUAAACAUGCAGCUUCCUGGGGGAGAGCAGAUGGCUAAGCCCAGCUCGCCACCUGCAGGCUGCUGCCUGCACGCUACGGGCAUCUCUGUGGGCACCACUGCCGGCCCUGGCAGCCCUCUAGGGUCAGGUUUCUACCCCACCCUGAGCUAACCAUCUUGUCCAGCACAGGCUUUAGCCGACAGAACUGGCCUCCUGACAAUAACUCACUGCCCAGGCACCAUAACCAAUGCAAUAAACAAAGUAAAGAAUGUGCCAUGUCAUCAACUAAUACUGACACGAUAUGUGUUUCGAGAAUGUGCCAAAUCGUCUCAUGAUGACACGUUUUAAUACUAUCUGGAGUUCUUUCUGUUUAUUUUUUUAUUGCGUUGUUUGUACAUGAAUUAUACAUUAGCAAAUGUUUUAUGGAUUUGUGAUUUGUUCUGCCAGAUUAAGUCUCAAGUCGACUGGAUGCUUGUGUACAGUCCAGUGCAGCUUUCGAGGGUUAUUUUAAAUCCUCUUUAUUCCUCAUUUCCCAAAGCACAGCAAGACUUCACUGGGCAUGAGAGUUUCAUUGGGAAGA